UUUCACACCCCGACCCACGGAUUAUUUCGGUCAGCGGCAGUGCCAUCAAGUCGCAAUUAUGCGAUGGUUCUGAACUUGACCACGAGCUUGGAUCCCUGAUCGUCCGUCGAAUUGGGCAAAUGGAAUCACAUGCGCACCGUGCCAGCCCUGUUGAACAAUACCGUUUGCUUCUCGAGCCCGAUUUUGCGUGUCAUGCCAUUGCAGGGGAAAACACCACAAGAAUCAUGUCAAUACAGAGACAAUUCAUUGGAGUGAAGUGCAACAUCGCAAACUGUCGGAUGCCGUCAUGCAACAUGGGUGGUGCUGCUUCAACUGGGACAUGAUGGCCCACGCGAUAACCAUAAUGGACCCAAUGGCAUACCAAACGGAGGACACAUCACGCAAAACUUGCCUUAUGUACGCGGCCGAUAAGAUACAUGAUGCCCUUUUCAAUUGCAUCGAAGAAUUCUUCACUGAAUGGCACUGCAGCAGACUAUCAUGGACGAAGAAGACACCUCUACUGUCUACCACAACAUUCACAAGGAACACAUACCGGACCAGAAAAUGCUUCAUGAUCUUGGUUCAUUCAGUUGGUUCGCAAUAUAGUUUCAUGGUAUUCAUGCCCGCUGGACACACUGUUAUUUUUCACGAUGCGUUUUUGUCCCCAGGCCCGAGAGUGCCGUGUGUGUCGUCCACCUACUAAGGCACUUCAAAGGGAAUUCACUGGCCAAACCACUUACCAGGGUCAGUGAAAACGUACCAAAUAGAUACCUUCAACCAACGAGACAAAACUAAUUUUAUGGCUGGCCAUAUACACAGGGAGCUAUUGCCAACGGAAGGGACGCACUCCUUAUCGAGUUGAUGCACAUGGAAGGCAACACCGCUCCCCUGCAGCUGGAAGGAUUAGACACCGUGGCCAACGCUCUGAACGAGACGAUGAAAGACUUAGUGUUUUAGUGGCAGAGUUCUGGAAAGUGGUUUGACUCAUGGUUUUAGUGGCAGACUCAGGGUUUUAGUGGCAGGGUUAGUCCCAAUGUAUCUAGGAGCGUUCUGGAAAACAAAGGAGCGCCGCUGUCGCGAA